rnacentral:rRNA from 1 species
GACGAACGCUGGCGGCGUGCUUAACACAUGCAAGUCGAACGGAAAGGCCCUGCUUUUGUGGGGUGCUCGAGUGGCGAACGGGUGAGUAACACGUGAGUAACCUGCCCUUGACUUUGGGAUAACUUCAGGAAACUGGGGCUAAUACCGGAUAGGAGCUCCUGCUGCAUGGUGGGGGUUGGAAAGUUUCGGCGGUUGGGGAUGGACUCGCGGCUUAUCAGCUUGUUGGUGGGGUAGUGGCUUACCAAGGCUUUGACGGGUAGCCGGCCUGAGAGGGUGACCGGCCACAUUGGGACUGAGAUACGGCCCAGACUCCUACGGGAGGCAGCAGUGGGGAAUAUUGCACAAUGGGCGGAAGCCUGAUGCAGCAACGCCGCGUGCGGGAUGACGGCCUUCGGGUUGGAAACCGCUUUCGCCUGUGACGAAGCGUGAGUGACGGUAAUGGGUAAAGAAGCACCGGCUAACUACGG